UAUAUAUACACACACACACAUAGAUGUUUUGUGUUUGUAUAUAUAUAUAUCAUAGUAUAUAUAUUGUAUGCAUAUUCUUCACACACACAUAUCAUAUAUUAUAUCAAGGGAGAAUUCUGGUGCAGAAAAACCAGAGGAUGCAGUCUUCAAAAAUCAAGCUAUAUAAUUGAAUUUUCUAGCUGUGUCUCAUAAAAAUGAACAACUUCACCUGAAAUCUGAUUUGUAUUUGCAUAUGUUUGUGUGUGUAUAUAAUAUGUAUUAUAUACAUGCAUAAUAUAUUAUAUAUAUAUAUAUAUAUAUAUAUAUAUAUAUUAUAUGUAUAUCAUAGAUAUAUCAUGCAAGCACAUAUAUGAUAUAAAUACAAACACACACACACAAAAGCAUAUAUACAUAUUCUUAAUAAUUUUCCCAUUUCUCUAAUUCUUAUAAAAGUUGGCAUAUUAUUUCUCAUUCUGUUUACUUUCUUGAAAAGAUGCUUUUACUAUUGUAUGUAAGUGUAGAUGAUUUUCCCCUUCAAUUAAUUUUGGCACAAAUUUAGAAUACUAAAUUUCCUGUAAUUUAAGAAUCUCAUCUAAUUCUCUCUCAAUUGUAAUUUUUAUUUCAUUAUUGGUUUAUUAAAUAGAUAAAUUUGUAACACUAUUCAUACCUACACAUUCUCUUAUACACCUAUACAUUGCCCACUGUCACAUUUGCAGGAACACACUCACACAGUAUAUUAUUUUACUCAGCAUUUAUUUUAUAUGCUCUUAUAAACAUUAUAUUUAAUUCUGUCAAGCCUAGCUAAAUUAAAAAUCUGUGUUUUCCCUGUCCUUUUUUUCUCCUGCUUACCAUAAUCAAUAAAGGAUUGAUUUCUCAUAUAUCUUUAAUGUAAGAUAAGGUAAGAUUAUUUUUAAUCUUAUCGAAUUAUCAAACCAAUAAUGCAGUUAUGCUGAGAAAGAAAUUUCAAAUUUAGUAUUACAACAUUCUUUUAACGAUAAACUUUAUUUCCUUUUUGCAGUUAUUUUUAUUAACUUAUGUAAUUUGUUUAAUUUCAGAAUGCUGCAGAUUUUAUGUAUUAUUCAAAUAGUUGUGUUAUUAAAAGGAAUCAAAUAAUUGAUCCUUCAUUAUAUACAAUAUAUGUAAUGUUUUUUGAAGCUCCAUGUGUAUAAAAGACUGGUUGUUAAUGUGUCAGUCCAUCAAAAGGAUUCAUAUAACAUGAAUUUUGAUUAAUUUUAAACUCAUUCAUCAGCCAAGAGACCUGCUAACAAUAUAUUAUGCCAUUUGGUCCCCAAAGUGGUCUUACAUUUAAUUCUUUGGCAUUCACGUUACUCUGUCAAAAGUAAUGCUUAUUUAUUCACAUUGUUUUGAAUUAAACAUGCAUUAUUUUGUAGCUUUUGAAAUUUUGAUGAGUUAACUGUUAAUUUUUACAAUGAUAUUAUAGGGUUGGUGUGAGAGGCUGGUUCUAGCCAGUUUGGGCACAAAACAGGUAGAAUAUUUUGGCGGGUUAUGGCCAGUUUAAAUGCUAAAGAGUUAAUAGCAUUCUUGAUUUGGCUUUCUGAAAAUAAAAGCCACAUUUUGUCUACUUUAUACAAAUUGUUAAAUAGUUCUGUAUUUACUACCUCUACCUUCUUUUAUUAUUUAUAAUGAAUAUCAGACAAUAAAAAUAUUUUAUUUUAAAUUUUUAUAAAUAUUUAUUUCCAAGAAUAACUAACUGCAAGAUGAAUCAUGCUAACUUAACCACAGUUGGUUAUUGUUAACAAUGGUUACAUGAGGAGGAAGAUUUGUCUAAACUAUACUUUCUAGAGUGGAAACUAAUUUGUAAGUCCAGUCCUAGCUUGUAAAUUAUAUUUUCUUCUUUUGUGAAGCAAAAUGAUCCAGCAUUAAAUUAAUGAUAUAAAAAUGUAUAUAACCACCUGCUGGUGGUAAGUGGGGGGUGAGCAAACUAUAUCAUCCUAACAUUUAAGUUUACUCCAAGAAAUAUUAUUUCUUUAAAGAAAAUAAAACAGUUUGUAGAUAUUUCAAUAUUUUGCUGAUGCUUUUUUCCCCUCCUUUAAGAGAUACAGUAGCUGUGACUAAAGAGACUUGUCAGUCCACCUCAUGGUCCCAGCAGACAAAUUGGAAAAGGUGUUGCCCUGGAAGAUGGCAAGGGAGGUGUACUGAAACAAUUACUCUGACUCACAGGGCUCACACUUGAGGAUAGCCAUCUCUGCCCCAACAGCAGUGAGAAGGGACAUAAUUGGGGGGGGGGGACAAAGGGCAAGAAUGCUGAGGUCUAUUUCAGUAUCAGAUAUUUGGUUUUCAAACUAUUUAUAUUUCAUUCUGCACAUUUUAAGUGAGUUGAAUACAAUGAGCAAAGGAAUGAAACCCUUUGUAGACCUGAAAAUAUGGCAGUAAAGGAAUUAUAUUAGAAGAAAAGGCAUUGAAGCUAUUUUUUUAUUUUUGCUUUUAAGAGUCCAUUAAUAACUUCUGUUGUAUGUCUUGUUUUUUCAUUUUAAUUUCAUCUCUUCAUAGAUAAGUAGUGUGAGGGAGUGUCAACUGAGCUGUUAAGAGUUUAUAUGUCCUGGGUUAGUUCACCAAACAGUAACUCAGUUGUACCCAGCUGCUUUUGUAUGUGUGCUUAAACACACUCAUAGAUUAAAACUGGAGAUGUAUUCAGCAUCAAAAAUGGAUGAUAAAUAUAUGUCUAUUUGUGUGUGUAUGUCUGUGUGUGUGUGUGUGUGUAUGUAUGUUUUUAUAUAAUGUCUCUUUAUGUCUUUAUUCCCCACCCACAUAUUUGCUGCAAUGUUUUUAAAAUUAAUUUUGGAAAUUUCCUCUGUGUAUUUUAUACCCUGAAAAGGACUACAGCUGGUCAUAGGGCAUAAAUAAGGUGCAUACAAUGUCGUACGGAAGGUAAAUGGUAUGCAAUCUGAAAAAAAAAAAAAACUUACAAAGAUGGAAAGUAUUCUUUUAAAAAGACAAUUCCUAGAUAGUUCCUUCCUAUUGCCCCUAUCUCAGUUUGAACCAAUUCCUUAGGCAAGAUUUCCAUUCUGUAUUUCUUUCUCUGCUAAUAUACUUUAUUGUUGUCUGUCUGGAUCUUGCUUUGAAGAGUUAAUAAAUUUAAAUAUCAUGAAACAGUU
rnacentral:lncRNA from 1 species